rnacentral:rRNA from 1 species
CAGCAGCCGCGGUAACACGAAGGGGGCUAGCGUUGUUCGGAAUUACUGGGCGUAAAGGGCGCGUAGGCGGCCAUUCAAGUUAGAUGUGAAAGCCCUGGGCUCAACCUAGGAAUUGCAUUUGAUACUGUUUGGCUUGAGUUCGGGAGAGGUGAGUGGAAUUCCCAGUGUAGAGGUGAAAUUCGUAGAUAUUGGGAAGAACGCCGGUGGCGAAGGCGGCGACCUGGUCCUUGACUGACGCUGAGGCGCGAAAGCGUGGGGAGCAAACAGGAUUAGAUACCCGGUAGUCCCUGUCUCUUAUACA